rnacentral:rRNA from 1 species
UACGUAGGGGGCAAGCGUUGUCCGGAAUUAUUGGGCGUAAAGAGCUCGUAGGCGGUCUGUCGCGUCUGCUGUGAAAACUCGGGGCUUAACCCCGGGCCUGCAGUGGGUACGGGCAGACUAGAGUGCGGUAGGGGAGACUGGAAUUCCUGGUGUAGCGGUGGAAUGCGCAGAUAUCAGGAGGAACAUCCGUGGCGAAGGCGGCUCUCUGGGACGGUACUGACGCUGAGACGCGAAAGCGUGGGGAGCGAACAGG